rnacentral:rRNA from 1 species
UACGAAGGGGGCUAGCGUUGUUCGGAAUUACUGGGCGUAAAGCGCACGUAGGCGGCGAUUCAAGUCAGAGGUGAAAGCCCGGGGCUCAACCCCGGAACUGCCUUUGAAACUAGAUCGCUAGAAUCUUGGAGAGGUCAGUGGAAUUCCGAGUGUAGAGGUGAAAUUCGUAGAUAUUCGGAAGAACACCAGUGGCGAAGGCGACUGACUGGACAAGUAUUGACGCUGAAGUGCGAAAGCGUGGGGAGCAAACAGGG